CCUCACAUCCGUUUGUGGUUUGUAAAGAGAGAGAGGAGAGAGAGGAAAAAAAAAAAAAAUCUCUUCCAAAACAGCACCGGUCUGCAGAUGUCUGCGAGAGAAUCAACAAACCCUCCUUCUUCUACGGCAGGGCAGGAAAGCACUGUACAUACUGCCAUCACAUUUCUUUAUGUACAUAUGUGAAGACAGCAUUGACCAAUCAAUAAAAGGAGUAAAGGGGCAGUUUUGACCAGCUGGGCCCCUUAAGUGAGACGCUUCUGCCAGAGAACUUCUCAAGUGACAGUUCCAAACAGGAGCUGCAUGGACUACAGCAUUGGAGAUUUCUCGGGAUUUGUCCACACACCACAUCGUAUUUGAUGCUCUUUGCCACAGACUGAGCUACAGCAUUUUCUAGUACUCACUGAUCCAAAAGAGCCACAGAAAAGUCAUGAAGUGUUUUACUCUGCUGGCAGUUAGAUCUAUGGCUUUAGGAAGUAAGACUUCUAUAUAACUCUUGAACUACAACUCUAGUAUUGGUCCCUAACCCUUGCCUUCACCAUAGUUGUAUGACAGACGCCCAUGAAGAACUAACUGUAAAGCAUUUAGACCUAUUGGUGAGAGAAUGAGUAUGUAAUCUUGUUUAUCUGCUGUAAUGAUGCUUUACUAUGGUCUUACACUGAAUUAUUUGAGUGCACAUUCUCAGGUCAGGAUUAGUUCUAGCAUCCCUAUAUGGCAGCCUGCAAAGGCCUGCGCCUUUUGAGCAAAUCAGUUAGCAUUUCUGUUCCUUAAAUUGUUUGGGUGGGGACAGAUGGCUGUGACAGACCUUGUAUAUUCUCCUCUUCACAGCUUCUCCAAUAGUCCGUAAACCCAACCUCCAACACCCUAUGAUUUCAGUUCUUGGCUUUGUAUCACCAAAAAUUGCUAGCUGUGCCAAAUUUAGGAAGCAGAGUAGUUUUUGAAAUAUGGAAAAGUAUCCAGUAGGGACCAAGCUAAAGCUAUCAAAUUCAUUGAACAGAUUAUAAACCAUAUUUAAAGCUAUUUCUCGAUGGGUUAAAGGCUGGUUCAUUAACAAAAGAUUUAAAUGUUUGCCACUCCUUUGCCUUGGUACAGCAGUAAAAAUUCUGAAAAUUUGAUAGCUCUGUGCUGUGUUGAACAGAAUCAAAUCCUUCAUAUAAGCCAAACUUCAGUUCUCUACUAAUAAAAUCUUACAUGCCACUUUAUAGUGCAUGUUUAUUCUGUAGUGAAAAUGACACAAAUCCUUAAUACAGCAUCAGUGCUGCCUGUUGAGCUUUGUAUUCCUAUAAAUGUUCCCAUGGGAAAUCUGAAGGUUGGCACUGGUAGACUGUAUUUUUAAAAUAUCACAAUGGGGUGGAACCCAGCAUCAUGUUGCUUAUUACACUGGUGAUCUAUCUAAUGGUAUUCUUUGCUGCUGAAAUCUAAUAAAAAUAACAUUUUUGAAAUAUUAGAUAUUGGAUUAAAGCUCCUAAUUGUCUCUUUCAUAACCAAAGAAGGUCCAUAUUAAUAAUUCUUUCCAGAGCCAUUCAAACGAAGACAU